CAGUCGCCGCGGGAAUACAGAGGGUGCAAGCGUUAAUCGGAUUUACUGGGCGUAAAGGGCGCGUAGGUGGUUAUUUAAGUGAGAUGUGAAAGCCCCGGGCUUAACCUGGGAACUGCAUCUUAUACUGGGUAACUGGAGUGCAGUAGAGGGUAGUGGAAUUUCCGGUGUAGCGGUGAAAUGCGUAGAUAUCGGAAGGAACACCAGUGGCGAAGGCGGCUACCUGGACUGAGACUGACACUGAGGCGCGAGAGCGUGGGGAGCAAACAGGAUUAGAUACCCCCGUAGUCCCUGUCUCUUAUAU
rnacentral:rRNA from 1 species